rnacentral:rRNA from 1 species
AGAUGGCGACCGGCGCACGGGUGAGUAACACGUAUCCAACCUGCCGAUAACUCGGGGAUAGCCUUUCGAAAGAAAGAUUAAUACCCGAUGGCAUAAUAGGACCGCAUGGUUUGAUUAUUAAAGAAUUUCGGUUAUCGAUGGGGAUGCGUUCCAUUAGGCAGUUGGUGGGGUAACGGCCCACCAAACCUUCGAUGGAUAGGGGUUCUGAGAGGAAGGUCCCCCACAUUGGAACUGAGACACGGUCCAA